UACGUAGGGUGCAAGCGUUGUCCGGAAUCAUUGGGCGUAAAGCGCGCGUAGGUGGUCAUGUAAGUCCGCUGUGAAAGUCAAAGGCUCAACCUUUGAAAGCCGGUGGAUACUGCAUGACUAGAGUACGGAAGAGGCGAGUGGAAUUCCUGGUGUAGCGGUGGAAUGCGCAGAUAUCAGGAGGAACACCGGUGGCGAAGGCGGCGUCCUGGACCAAUACUGACACUGAGGAGCGAAAGCCAGGGGAGCAAACGGG
rnacentral:rRNA from 1 species